GAAGGAGCUCACCUCCCCACAAAUUGUAUAAACCUUAGUUUCCACAAAACCUGGAUCUUCCCUGGCAUCAUCAUUUAUUAUUAGGUAUAAAUCCACGCAGAAAAAAAGAAUGAGAGGAAGAUAACAGCAGACUAGAGAUUCAACAGAAUUCUGGAAGCUGGAAUCCUGAGAAGUGGGACUUGCAGGGCAGAGAAAACUGGAUCAGAAAUACUCACCCUGCCCCUGCCACAUUAGGCCAGAACAGAACACCUUUCACAAAGAGGAGCUAAUCAGGAGCAAGUUCAUUGUUAUUCUAUGUCUGCUCUCCAAUCCCUGGCCAAGAAAUUCUCUUUCUGGAGAGGGUGAGCCCGCAAAUCCCUGACUCAGGAGGACUUGGGUGAGAUGUCACAGUGCAAACAGAGGUAAAGGUGGAGUUGGCUCUAUCUGAAACACAGACUGAAGAAGAGAAGAGUGGUUUCCCCAGAGGAAAAGAAGAAAAGUGGGGUUCCACAAGCAGAUGAGAAAACAGAAGAGCAGCAGAGUGGUGCAACAGAGAAGGAGAGAAGAGAAGGAGCAUCUGAACAUCAAGAGGAGUUCAGCUGGGGACAGUUGGUUGGGAGAUCAGCUACAGGACAGCCAAACUCCAGGGGAAGAUGAUCUUCCCACUCCAUCCCCUUUCUGGCUCCUCAUCCAUUCUGCUGAGAGCCACCUCCAGCUCUCAAUAAAACCCCCACAUUCACCAGCCUUCAAGUCUGUGUGUGAUCUGAUUCUUCCUGGAUGCUGGAAAAGGACCUGGG
rnacentral:lncRNA from 10 species